rnacentral:rRNA from 1 species
AGAGCUCAAAUUUAUAAUCUGGCACCUUCGGUGUCCGAGUUGUAAUCUCUAGAAAUGUUUUCCGCGUUGGACCGCACACAAGUCUGUUGGAAUACAGCGGCAUAGUGGUGAGACCCCCGUAUAUGGUGCGGACGCCCAGCGCUUUGUGAUACAUUUUCGAAGAGUCGAGUUGUUUGGGAAUGCAGCUCAAAUUGGGUGGUAAAUUCCAUCUAAAGCUAAAUAUUGGCGAGAGACCGAUAGCGAACAAGUACCGUGAGGGAAAGAUGAAAAGCACUUUGGAAAGAGAGUUAACAGUACGUGAAAUUGUUGGAAGGGAAACGCUUGAAGUCAGACUUGCUUGCCGAGCAAUCGGUUUGCAGGCCAGCAUCAGUUUUCCGGGAUGGAUAAUGGUAGAGAGAAGGUAGCAGUUUCGGCUGUGUUAUAGCUCUCUGCUGGAUACAUCUUGGGGGACUGAGGAACGCAGUGUGCCUUUGGCGGGGGUUUCGACCUC